GAUGAACGCUGACAGAAUGCUUAACACAUGCAAGUCUACUUGAAUUUGGGUUUUUUAACUUAGAUUUGGGUGGCGGACGGGUGAGUAACGCGUAAAGAACUUGCCUCACAGCUAGGGACAACAUUUGGAAACGAAUGCUAAUACCUGAUAUUAUGAUUAUAAGGCAUCUUAGAAUUAUGAAAGCUAUAUGCGCUGUGAGAGAGCUUUGCGUCCCAUUAGCUAGUUGGAGAGGUAACGGCUCACCAAGGCGAUGAUGGGUAGCCGGCCUGAGAGGGUGAACGGCCACAAGGGGACGGAGACACGGCCCUUACUCCUACGGGAGGCAGCAGUGGGGAAUAUUGGACAAUGGACCAAGAGUCUGAUCCAGCAAUUCUGUGUGCACGAUGACGUUUUUCGGAAUGUAAAGUGCUUUCAGUUGGGAAGAAAAAAAUGACGGUACCAACAGAAGAAGUGACGGCUAAAUACGUG
rnacentral:rRNA from 1 species